rnacentral:tRNA from 1 species
GUGUCCAUAGCUCAGUGGUAGAGCAGCGACCUUCUAAUUCGCGGGGCGUUGGUUCGAAUCCAACUGGACACCCCA